rnacentral:rRNA from 1 species
AUACGGAGGAUCCGAGCGUUAUCCGGAUUUAUUGGGUUUAAAGGGUGCGCAGGCGGCCAUUUAAGUCAGCGGUUAAAUCGUGGGGCUCAACCCCAUCCUGCCGUUGAUACUGGGUGGCUUGAUUGCGGUCGAGGUUGGCGGAAUUCGUUGUGUAGCGGUGAAAUGCAUAGAUAUGACGAAGAACACCGAUUGCGUAGGCAGCUGACCAGACCGCAAAUGACGCUCAUGCACGAAAGUGCGGGGAUCGAACAGGAUUAGAUCCCCUGGUAGGCCGCACAGUAAACGAUGAAUACUUGAUUUCGGAGAUAUAAUGUCGGAGGCAAAGCGAAAGCGAUAAGUAUUCCGCCUGGGGAGUACGCCGGCAACGGUGAAACUCAAAUGAAUUGACGGGG